rnacentral:siRNA from 1 species
CGCUUAACUGUGAAGUUCUCUCA